rnacentral:tRNA from 12 species
GCGGGCGUGGCGGAAUUGGUAGACGCACUGGAUUUAGGUUCCAGCGACGAAAGUUGUGGGGGUUCGAGUCCCUCCGCCCGCACCA